ACGGUAGCGCAGAGGAGCUUGCUCCUUGGGUGACGAGUGGCGGACGGGUGAGUAAUGUCUGGGAAGCUGCCCGAUGGAGGGGGAUAACUACUGGAAACGGUAGCUAAUACCGCAUAACGUCGCAAGACCAAAGAGGGGGACCUUCGGGCCUCUUGCCAUCGGAUGUGCCCAGAUGGGAUUAGCUAGUAGGUGGGGUAACGGCUCACCUAGGCGACGAUCCCUAGCUGGUCUGAGAGGAUGACCAGCCACACUGGAACUGAGACACGGUCCAGACUCCUACGGGAGGCAGCAGUGGGGAAUAUUGCACAAUGGGCGCAAGCCUGAUGCAGCCAUGCCGCGUGUAUGAAGAAGGCCUUCGGGUUGUAAAGUACUUUCAGCGAGGAGGAAGGUGUUGUGGUUAAUAACCGCAGCAAUUGACGUUACUCGCAGAAGAAGCACCGGCUAACUCCGUGCCAGCAGCCGCGGUAAUACGGAGGGUGCAAGCGUUAAUCGGAAUUACUGGGCGUAAAGCGCACGCAGGCGGUCUGUCAAGUCGGAUGUGAAAUCCCCGGGCUCAACCUGGGAACUGCAUCCGAAACUGGCAGGCUAGAGUCUUGUAGAGGGGGGUAGAAUUCCAGGUGUAGCGGUGAAAUGCGUAGAGAUCUGGAGGAAUACCGGGUGGCGAAG
rnacentral:rRNA from 1 species